AUUGAACGCUGGCGGCAUGCCUUACACAUGCAAGUCGAACGGCAGCGCGGACUUCGGUCUGGCGGCGAGUGGCGAACGGGUGAGUAACAUAUCGGAACGUGCCCUGGAGUGGGGGAUAACUAGUCGAAAGACUAGCUAAUACCGCAUACGAUCUACGGAUGAAAGUGGGGGAUCGCAAGACCUCAUGCUCGUGGAGCGGCCGAUAUCUGAUUAGCUAGUUGGUGGGGUAAAGGCCUACCAAGGCAUCGAUCAGUAGCUGGUCUGAGAGGACGACCAGCCACACUGGGACUGAGACACGGCCCAGACUCCUACGGGAGGCAGCAGUGGGGAAUUUUGGACAAUGGGGGCAACCCUGAUCCAGCAAUGCCGCGUGAGUGAAGAAGGCCUUCGGGUUGUAAAGCUCUUUUGUCAGGGAAGAAACGGUCCGGGCUAAUAUCCUGGGCUAAUGACGGUACCUGAAGAAUAAGCACCGGCUAACUACGUGCCAGCCGCCGCUGUAA
rnacentral:rRNA from 1 species